AACGAACGCUGGCGGCAGGCCUAACACAUGCAAGUCGAGCGAGACCUUCGGGUCUAGCGGCGGACGGGUGAGUAACGCGUGGGAACGUGCCCUUUGCUACGGAAUAGCCCCGGGAAACUGGGAGUAAUACCGUAUGUGCCCUUCGGGGGAAAGAUUUAUCGGCAAAGGAUCGGCCCGCGUUGGAUUAGGUAGUUGGUGGGGUAAUGGCCUACCAAGCCGACGAUCCAUAGCUGGUUUGAGAGGAUGAUCAGCCACACUGGGACUGAGACACGGCCCAGACUCCUACGGGAGGCAGCAGUGGGGAAUCUUAGACAAUGGGGGAAACCCUGAUCUAGCCAUGCCGCGUGAGCGAUAAAGGCCUUAGGGUUGUAAAGCUCUUUCAGGUGGGAAGAUAAUGACGGUACCACCAGAAGAAGCCCCGGCUAACUCCGUGCCAGCAGCCGCAGUAA
rnacentral:rRNA from 1 species